rnacentral:rRNA from 1 species
UACAGAGGGCCCGAGCGUUGUUCGGAUUCAUUGGGCGUAAAGGGUGCGUAGGCGGUCUUCUAAGUUUGAUGUGAAAUCCCGGGGCUCAACCCUGGAAUUGCAUUGAAUACUGGAGGACUAGAGUACUGGAGAGGAAACUGGAAUUUACGGUGUAGCAGUGAAAUGCGUAGAGAUCGUAAGGAAGACCAGUGGCGAAGGCGAGUUUCUGGACAGUGACUGACGCUGAGGCACGAGGGCCAGGGGAGCAAACGGG